rnacentral:ncRNA from 1 species
UUGUUGUCUGGAGAAGCGUCCUCAGCGGCGGACCGGGCCCAAGUCCCCUGGAAAGGGGCGCCGGAGAGGGUGAGAGCCCCGUCGUGCCCGGACCCUGUCGCACCAUGAGGUGCUGUCUACGAGUCGGGUUGUUUGGGAAUGCAGCCCUAAUCGGGCGGUAAAUUCCGUCCAAGGCUAAAUACGGGCGAGAGACCGAUAGCGAACAAGUACCGCGAGGGAAAGAUGAAAAGGACUUUGAAAAGAGAGUCAAAGAGUGCUUGAAAUUGUCGGGAGGGAAGCGGAUGGGGGCCGGCGAUGCGCCCCGGUCGGAUGUGGACCGGCUCUCGCCGUUCCACAUCCGAACGGGGCGCAUGGCCGGCCCCCAUCCGCUUCCCUCCCGACAAUUUCAAGCACUCUUUGACUCUCUUUUCAAAGUCCUUUUCAUCUUUCCCUCGCGGUACUUGUUCGCUAUCGGUCUCUCACCCAUAUUUAGCCUUGGACGGAAUUUACCGCCCGAUUAGGGCUGCAUUCCCA